GUUUCCUCCUAACUUCAAGCUGAC
rnacentral:piRNA from 1 species